rnacentral:pre_miRNA from 9 species
UCUCGAUAGCGUAAAAGUUAACUCAAAUUUGUAUGGAGUUAGAAAGUUUGCGUACGUUUGCCGCUAGGGGCGCUGUUCCAACUGCAUACAACAUAAAAAUUUGAGUUAACUUUUACGCUAUCGA